CCUGACUGCUAUCGGAUUGAUACUAAGCCAUGCGAGUCAUUGUAGCAAUACAAGGCAUACGGCUCAGUAACGCGUAGUCAACCUAACCUAUGGACGGGAAUAACCUCGGGAAACUGAGAAUAAUGCCCGAUAGAACACUAUACCUGGAAUGGUUUGUGUUCCAAAUGAUUUAUCGCCAUAGGAUGGGACUGCGGCCUAUCAGUUUGUUGGUGAGGUAAUGGCCCACCAAGACUAUUACAGGUACGGGUUCUGAGAGGAGUAGCCCGGAGAUGGGUACUGAGACACGGACCCAGGCCCUAUGGGGCGCAGCAGGCGAGAAAACUUUGCAAUGUGCGAAAGCACGACAAGGUUAAUCCGAGUGAUUUGUGCUAAACGAAUCUUUUGUUAGUCCUAGAAACACUAACGAAUAAGGGGUGGGCAAGUUCUGGUGUCAGCCGCCGCGGUAAAACCAGCACCUCAAGUGGUCAGGAUGAUUAUUGGGCCUAAAGCAUCCGUAGCCGGCUCUGUAAGUUUUCGGUUAAAUCUGUACGCUUAACGUACAGGCUGCCGGGAAUACUGCAGAGCUAGGGAGUGGGAGAGGUAGACGGUACUCGGUAGGAAGUGGUAAAAUGCUUUGAUCUAUCGAUGACCACCUGUGGCGAAGGCGGUCUACCAGAACACGUCCGACGGUGAGGGAUGAAAGCUGGGGGAGCAAACCGGAUUAGAUACCCGGGUAGUCCCAGCUGUAAACUAUGCAAACUCAGUGAUGCAUUGGCUUGUGGCCAAUGCAGUGCUGCAGGGAAGCCGUUAAGUUUGCCGCCUGGGAAGUACGUACGCAAGUAUGAAACUUAAAGGAAUUGGCGGGGGAGCACCACAAGGGGUGAAGCCUGCGGUUC
rnacentral:rRNA from 1 species